GUGACAGUGUCAGUGAUGAAGGGAGAUUCUGUCACUCUAAACCCUCAUACUGUAAUACCAGUAGAUGAUACAGCUGAGUGGUGGUUUGGUGGUGAAUUCAUAGCUAAGAUGAAUAAAGCAGAUGGACUCUUCACUACAUCUGGGGGGGAUAAUGAGGGAUUCAAAUGCAAACUGAUUCUGGACAAGCAGACUGGAUCUCUGACCAUCACAGACAUCACACCUGAACAUGCUACUCUAUAAACUACAGAUCAUGAGCACAACUGAGACAUCCAAAAUAUUCAGUGUUACUGUCCAUGAUAAUGUGGUGUCAGUGUGGAGGGGAAUAAUGUUACUCUACGCACUGGUGUUACUGAUAUACAGGGAGAUGAUCUGAUAGUGUGGAAGUUUGAAGAUCAUGUCAUCCCCAUUCCACGUUUAAACGGCCCUGUUGUCAAGGAAUGGAGAAACAUUUAUCGGAAUGGUACAACUGGAGACCUCACCAUCAGUAACAUUCGAAACGAUCAGUCUGGAAACUAUGAAGUCACCACCAGAAGUAUGACAUUACACAAGACAUUCCAUAUUACUGUUGAGAUCCCCGAGGGUAUCGCUUUUUCAUCGAUCGGGAAAGGGAUCGGAAUUGGGAUCGGGAUCCUGUUUGGGUCUGGGA